UACGGGGGGGGGCAAGCGUUGUUCGGAAUUACUGGGCGUAAAGGGCUCGUAGGCGGCCAACUAAGUCCGACGUGAAAUCCCAAGGCUUAACCUUGGAACUGCGUCGGAUACUGGAUGGCUUGAAUUCGGGAGAGGGAUGCAGAAUUCCAGGUGUAGCGGUGAAAUGCGUAGAUAUCUGGAGGAAUACCGGUGGCGAAGGCGGCAUCCUGGACCGACAUUGACGCUGAUGAGCAAAAAGCUAGGGGAGCGAACGGGG
rnacentral:rRNA from 1 species